rnacentral:rRNA from 1 species
GGGCAGGGGGGGCGGCUUACACAUGCAGUCGAGCGGAACGAUGGUAGCUUGCUACCAGGCGUCGAGCGGCGGACAGGUGAGUAAUACUUAGGAAUCUACCUAGUAGUGGGGGAUAGCUCGGGGAAACUCGAAUUAAUACCGCAUACGACCUACGGGAGAAAGGGGGCAACUUGUUGCUCUCGCUAUUAGAUGAGCCUAAGUCGGAUUAGCUAGAUGGUGGGGUAAAGGCUUACCAUGGCGACGAUCUGUAGCUGGUCUGAGAGGAUGAUCAGCCACACCGGGACUGAGACACGGCCCGGACUCCUACGGGAGGCAGCAGUGGGGAAUAUUGGACAAUGGGGGAAACCCUGAUCCAGCCAUGCCGCGUGUGUGAAGAAGGCCUUUUGGUUGUAAAGCACUUUAAGCAGUGAAGAAGACUCCUCGGUUAAUACCCGUGGACGAUGACAUUAGCUGCAGAAUAAGCACCGGCUAACUCUGUGCCAGCAGCCGCGGUAAUACAGAGGGUGCAAGCGUUAAUCGGAAUUACUGGGCGUAAAGCGAGCGUAGGUGGCUUGAUAAGUCAGAUGUGAAAUCCCCGGGCUUAACCUGGGAACUGCAUCUGAAACUGUUAGGCUAGAGUAGGUGAGAGGAAGGUAGAAUUCCAGGUGUAGCGGUGAAAUGCGUAGAGAUCUGGAGGAAUACCGAUGGCGAAGGCAGCCUUCUGGCAUCAUACUGACACUGAGGCUCGAAAGCGUGGGUAGCAAACAGGAUUAGAUACCCUGGUAGUCCACGCCGUAAACGAUGUCUACUAGUCGUUGGGUCCCUUGAGGACUUAGUGACGCAGCUAACGCAAUAAGUAGACCGCCUGGGGAGUACGGCCGCAAGGUUAAAACUCAAUGAAUUUGACGGGGGCCCGCACAAGCGGUGGAGCAUGUGGUUUAUUCGAUGCACGCGAGACCUUACCUGGUCUUGACAUAUCUAGAAUCCUGCAGAGAUGCGGGAGUGCCUUCGGGAAUUAGAUACAGU